AGCAAGCCUAAGGUUGCCGUGUACAACCAGCCAGCACCAACCGACGAUGAUGACGAGGAGGGGGAGUUCAGACAGAAAUCAUCCUUUGUGGUGUAGUCUCAUCUAGCACUGAUGACCUGCAUUGUCUCCUGGCCAGUGCAUAGUGGACACUCUGGACAAAAGAGCUAAAGAGUUUGUAAAGAUGUAUGACGUAUUGACUGUAAUUUUAAAGUGUAUAUGUUCCUGCUUUUGUCUUUCAAAUUAAUUUGUUAAGACAUUUUUUUACAGUGUAUCGUGCAACUGGUUAUUUACGUGCUUAUAUGAUCGUUUUUAUACCAACAUUACCUAAAACAGAUAUGCAUAUAGCUGCAUAUUGGCACAUCAUGUAAUAAACACAUACUGUGUAGGCACACAAUCACAUCUCAGUAGCUGAUCAGUCAGUAGCUGAUUUAUGUACAGAUGGCAUAGAGGGAAGAUAUUUUGCACUUUUGUCUUUUUUUCCAUCAGGAUGUUUGUGUGAUUGGUCAAACACACAAACUUCCUACUAGCAGAUUCUUCAUAUACAAAAAUGUCACUUGAUAGUUGAUUGGUGGGUGUAAAAAAAGGAAAAUUGCCAUGACCCAAUACCGUAUGUGCACAUUUUCAUGUAUAUUGCAAAUGAUCAAAAACAUUGGUGGAUUAGUGUUUGCUUUCGUGUGUGGUGAAGUGAAUGAAGGGACAUGAAGGCUGUUAAUGGCGACAGCCUUUCAUUUUAAAGACUGUAAACUAUUUGGUUGCCGUGUGCAUCUCAAAUGGCAGUGGACUGGACAGCCGAAGGUGUGUGUGAGUGUGCGUGUGUGUGUGUCAGUGUGGUAAUCGGCAUUCUGUGUGUUUCCUACCGGAAUGCUGUGUGUGUGCCGUGGAUGUGUCACCACUGCUGUGUGAUUAACCAUGAUGUCAUGGUGCUGUGGUUGGGCCUGCACUGUAGAUGUUCAUUGGACGAUUAAACCUUAACCGCAAUCCCAUUGGUGGUGUGAUGUGCAGCACACAAAGCCUAGUGAUGCAAACAGACAAGUGCAUGACUACAUGUAUACAUGUCUGUGGAUGCAGAUCUCUGCUUUGAGACUUACAUACGUUUGGUCUGUUUACUGUAUUUUGUCUAGUUUUUCUCUUGUUUUUUGGAACAUAACAAACAUAUGGCCCUAAUAAAGCACUGGGGUCAUUUUGGGUUGUACAUUCCCUUUUUUAUUCCCUCCUAAUUCCCUUUCCUCAAGUGGCAUUAACUCACACAUUUAGCAGUGCCUGUAUUGGUGCGGUGACAUGGCAGUAAACAGCCAUGUUGUCUUUUCAAAUGACUGUGACCUGUAUCCAUAGCUAAGUCAUGUAGUUGGUAACACUAUAUAAUAAUGGGUGCAUAACAAGCAUUAUAAAUACUUAAUUAACUAAUGAUGAACAAAACAUUAAAGGUUUAUUAUUCAUUAAGUUUUAUAAUAAAAUGUAUAAAAUAUCUACAAAUUGUAUGUUCAAGAUUUUACUAACCUUUUAAAGUUUUUUUUAUUCAUUUACUAAAUGAAUACAUGUUUGAUAAUUAUAAAAUACCUGUAUAACAUUUCCCACUCAUUUACAAAAAUGCGUUAAUGUUUUGUUCAUCAUUCGUUUAUCUUUUACUAAGUCUGACCGCAUUGAAAGGAAGGAACUGCAAAAUGUAGGCUGUCAUAUUCUUCUGUCUGAUUUGGAUGUACAGAUAUUUUGCAGUGGUAUUCUUAAAUUAUAAAUUAUUGAAGAUGAAUGUUUGUGGAUAAGCAAUAUUCAAAGAAGAGUUUUAAGUAUGUAAUUUGUUUUCUAUAAAAGUAAAAUAUGAAGGCCCUGAGCAUUUCUGUUUUUGUGAGCAUUUUAUUGAGUAGCUAGACAGUGAAUAGUUGUAAACAUUUUAACACUGUGUGUGCCAUCCUUUGAGUGUUGUCUGAAGAAAAUUUCAAUUUCAAUCCACUAUGAGGAAUGACUCCUCCUUUGCUGAUAACCGCUCGUACUAUUCACUACUCGUUCAGUUUGUAUUACCCUUGUGUCAUCUUUUGUUAAAUAAAAGUAUGCUUGUCUUA